rnacentral:rRNA from 1 species
UUGCCAAGAAUGUUUCCAUUAAUCAAGAACGAAAGUUAGAGGUUCGAAGGCGAUCAGAUACCGCCCUAGUUCUAACCAUAAACGAUGCCAGCCAGCGAUCCGGCUGUGUUCCUCAAAUGACACGCCGGGCAGCUUCCGGGAAACCAAAGCUUUUGGGUUCCGGGGGAAGUAUGGUUGCAAAGCUGAAACUUAAAGGAAUUGACGGAAGGGCACCACCAGGAAUGGAGCCUGCGGCUUAAUUUGACUCAACACGGGAAAACUUACCCGGCCCGGACACAGGAAGGAUUGACAGAUUAAGAGCUCUUUCUUGAUUCUGUGGCAGGUGGUGCAUGGCCGUUUUUAGUUGGUGGAGCGAUUUGUCUGGUCAAUUCCGAUAACGAACGAGACUCUAGCCUACUAAAUAGACGUUCCGAUCCUUAGUCGGACGUUCUUCUUAGAGGGACAAGCGGCGUUUAGCUGCACGAGACAGAGCAAAAACAGGUCUGUUAUGCCCUUAGAUGUCCGGGGCCGCACGCGCGCUACAUUGAAGGAAUCAACGUGUGCUUUCCCUUUCAGACAUGAAUGGGUAACCCGUUGAACCUCCUUCGUGCUGGGGAUUGGAGAUUGUAAUUGUUCUCCAUGAACGAGGAAUUCCCAGUAAGCACGAGUCAUUAGCUUGUGUUGAUUACGUCCCUGCCCUUUGUCCACACCGCCCGUCGCUAAUACCGAUUGAAUGAUUUAGUGAGGUUUUUGGAUUGGCUGUUCGUAGCGGGACGCAAUGUCCCGCGCCGGCGUGCUGAAAAGAUAACCAAACUUGAUCAUUUAGAGGAAUUAAAAGUCGUAACAAGGUUUCCGUAGGUGAACCUG